rnacentral:tRNA from 2 species
CGCGGAGUGGAGCAGCUCGGUAGCUCGUCGGGCUCAUAACCCGAAGGUCGUAGGUUCAAAUCCUGCCUCCGCAA